GGGGAUGACUGGCUUCGACGGGGAAGGCACAUCCUAGACUGCAAGCCGAGUAACGCUCACAUCUCGUAAAUCUGGAGCAAGCACAUUAAGUGCCAACAAUACACGUUCUUACAGCGCACUUCCUCUUGCUGCCUAAUCGGUAGUUUGAUAGUGACACGGCCCUAAGGGUGCUGCGAUUGCCCAGACUGUUCGCUAUUCAGGCUGGUUCGCAAUCGACAUAAAUAAUGGCGUGCUCCCUGUUGAUGUUGCUACGCAGGGCUAGAGGCGCUACCUCAGGUAGCCAGCAACUCGCCAUCCAUGAUGACCCGGCCGAUCGGGGCGCGGAUGGUUAAAUGCACAAAUAGGUCGGAUAAGCUUGUAGACGUUUAGCGGUGGAAUUUUUCGGACGUGGGUUCGAUUCCCACCAUCUCCACUG
rnacentral:tmRNA from 1 species